rnacentral:tRNA from 1 species
GGUACGAGACUGCAGAGGGGUUGGUCUUGUAAACCAAAGAUCAUGGGUUCAAUCCCCAUUCAUGCCU